rnacentral:pre_miRNA from 16 species
CGCAUGUGGCGGCACCAAGCAUGAGGCAACAACUGCAGUACUUGUGGGGAAGGCACAAGUAGGACACCAACAUUACCUGCAAGCAAGACGCAAAAUUAAUAGAACAUCACCAUACUUGUGGCUUUCUUGCAAGUCGUGCAGUUGCUGCCUCAAGCUUGCUGCCUCCCUUUGCC